GUCAACACCCACCCCUUCAAGGGGUGGGCUUCCGGCUAAGAGUCUAGGCUCCAAACCAAAAAGCCCUAGUUGACCAGACUGAGUGUCUUGCACACUACGUUAUCAGUAAGAGUUAAAGUUCCUACCUUGGGAUGCAUUGUCUAGUCUCAUGCUCUAGAACCGAAUAGUUAAACAAGCGUAAAGGGUUAAAGCUAGUGCUAUUUGGAAAGUACCGACUGAUAACUUUGUCGAAGCAAACAUCAC
rfam:Scytonema millei VB511283 scaffold_100, whole genome shotgun sequence.